rnacentral:lncRNA from 1 species
GGUGGAACGCAGGAGGUAGGAGUGUUCAUGCUAGGCUCUUAGUUUCUUAGAGGAAAACUAAAGGAAGUACUGAAUAGAGGUUGAGUAUCAUACCAUUGGAAUUCUUGACAAAAAUUGAAAGCAAAAGGAUCAGCACUAAUAAUGAUUAACAGUUCUUGAACUCUUGGAUCUUGAGUAACUGACUGAAAAAACUCUUGGGCCUUGUAUAUUGAUGGAUAGAUAUUCAUUUAAUUGUUUCAUGUACUUCAAUUUUAUUUCCCAUAUUGAAAAUGUGGUAGACACUUGUGAUUGGUUGUUCCAGGGUUUCGGACCAAGCAUCGCCUAUUUUCAAGGUUCCCUAUCUUCGACUGGACGAAAGAAGGGGGUAGGGAAGGUGGUUUUCUGAUUAACCUGAAACCUUUCAUGCUAAUUUCAUUUGGCUCGAAAACAUUGCUCGAUACUGAAUAACCUUUGCAUUCACAUUUUUCAUUAUCCUUGUAAAUUGAAUGUUGGACCCUAAUGCUCAUUGGUUGUACUCUAUACAUUGAUAGUUUCUGUUUCAUAAAUUGACUGGACUUGCCUGAAUCCAGGAACCAGUGCUGGCAGUGUAACUGUGGCCGUUUCCCAUUUUGGGCGUUGUGACCUUUGGGUUCAAGUACUUUACUAUCCCUUUUAUGGUUCUGGUCCUGCCGAUUAUGAAGACUCUGAAGAGGAUCCACAAGUUAUGAGACAAAAGAACAGCCUGAGACCUGAAUUAGGGGAACCUGUCAUUUUGAGAUGUCAGCCAUACAAAAUUCCUCUGACCGAGCUUCUUUUGCCACAUAAAAUUUCACCAGUCGAAUAUUUUCGUCUAUGGCCUAGUUUGCCUGCUAUAGUUGAGUGUACUGGUACAUAUACAUAUGAAGGAAGCGGUUUCAUGGCUACUGCUGCUCAGCAAUAUGGGGAGUCCCCGUUCCUGAGUGGCCUGAAAUCUCUGUCUUCCAAACCUUUCGUCUAUGGCCUAGUUGCCUGCUAUAGUUGAGUGUACUGGUACAUAUAAAUAUGAAGGAAGCGGUUUCAUGGCUACUGCUGCUCAGCAAUAUGGGAAGUCUCCGUUCCUGAGUGGCCUGAAAUCUCUUGUCUUCCGAACCUUUCCACCGAGUUUGCUCACACAUCAUCCGGACAGUUGCUGGAUUUGAGGUUAGUAACUUUGUUUUAAAGGCUUUUGUCUUCUGAUUUUCUUUGGAAAGAUUUUACCAUGUUGGAUUUAGAAGCCACCUUAAGCUUUUCUGGCACUUCUAAUUGGGCA